rnacentral:piRNA from 1 species
UGGNGAGGCUAUGGUCAGUCCAGGGUGAA